UUUUUUUUCCAGAGAACACUUACAAACACUGUUGCAGCACAUAUACAUGCCCCUGAUCUCUCUUCCCAAACAUUUUGAAUUCUCCUUAGCUUUACAUUUUUCCAUCAUUCCCAGUUUACAGCAUCACAUAAAUUGAAGGAUCAGAAGCUAAGUGGAAAGAAAAGAAUGGUCAGGACACAGAGGAUGGAGAAAAGUAAUUAUGUGAGAAACUGAAGUCACAAAUCACACAGAGUGAAGAACUGCCAAGGACCUUAUCAGUCUUGCUGGAAUUCCUGCUACUUUAAUUGGCACAAAUAAACCAGUGUGGUUACCCUAAGCUUCAUGGACAGUCAAGGUAAAGAAAGGGGCACCUCUGAGAAGUGAUUCAGCUCAAGUAAGAACCUGAAAUCUCCCCAAAAGAUGCCACUGUAUCUUUGGAGAUUACGGGAGGGAGCCUUAUAAGCCUUCCCCUUAAUAAGAUGAAGCAGUGAAGUGCCUUGAAUCAGACAGACAGGUUCAGGCUGUUGCUGCUGAGAAGCUGGGAGACAUAGAGCAGCCUCAUCCCUUAUCUCCUCUCCACACCAGUGAGGCUGAAACCGAUGGCACCAGAGCCCAGGAUAAAAGGCAAUGUUACAGUAUGGAUUGCAGAGUCCUUCAUAAAAUAUUUUGAAGGAUAAUAAAUACAAAGCCACACCAA